UAGGAGUUAGGCGCCAAACCUAACUUAAGCACUACUGGUCUAUUUCCCAUUCCAAUUUUCACCAAAACCAGUACGGUUCUGCUCACUGAUGCCUAGAAUAUUCCUGGAAUUUUGGAAUUGACUGGAUGUGGUGUUCACAAGUUCAUGUUACAAACAGAGAAAUGCCAUCAAGUAGAGUGAAGAGCUCACAUUACUCAGUAAACAAGUUUUCAAAUGUUUUUCUCUCACAGAUUGCUUCUUCAGAUAAAGAAUAUUUCUUCUCCCAACCCACCCUGCCUCAUACCUACAGUACCCCGCUUCAACAAGAGAGUUCAAUGGUGUGAAAAGAAUGGAACACGACAACAGCGAAUACGACGACAGUGGAGACACCUCCAAAGAAAUACCCUAGAGCCCUUGGGCCAUCACGCUUCAGGAAUGUGCGUGAGGUACUAGGAGACCUGGAGAUGGGGGAUGUCCUGCUGGCCGUAGCCACUUUCAAUCUCCUGGCUUCUACCCCCUACCCUGUUGUCAGGGCAUUGUGCAGCACCCUUUCCAGCCUACCUGGGUGCAGGAGAUGGAGGAAGAGAGCAUCUGCCAUCCAGCUCCAUCCCAUCUAGAGCAAGUGAGUGGAGGUCUCCAGAGCCAUCGCCAGUGUGGUGGGAAUGGCCCAGCAAUAGGGCUCCCAGCCCUUCCCUUGCAGGAGUUUGUUCCCAACGUCGAGAGUCUUUGGGGAGGGCAGAACCUGCCAAGUGCUGAACACCCACAACCGCAAGCAGUGAAAUCAGUGGGAACUGAGGGUGACUCCUCCCUCCUAGGAUUGGCACCUUGUGAACGAACUUUCGUUGAGGACUAUCCAGUUCCAGGAUGGGAUGCGGAUGCUGAGGAGGAAGGCUGGGCAGGUGGCUCUGGAGCCAGUAGGGAGCAGCAUCCGUCUUGCCCAGGAGGAGACUGGCCCCUCUGUCCCCAUGGGUGGGGAAGAGGCCAGUGGGCAGGCAAAGUGGAGAAGCUCCCUGACCUUCUGGAGGAAGAGAAAAACACCAGCUCCCUUAGUAGGCCCUGAGGCACCUUCUGGUCCCAAAUGGAGGUGGUCUCAGAUGAUGCUAUGUAGGAGGGACCCAGGAGAGGGCGGGAGCCGGGCAAGGUGGCUCUGCGACUUCCUUUCCAGGAAGCAGAGGAGCCAGGAGCCCAGCCCCAGGGCCCAGCAGGAGCCAUCCACCAGCCUGGCCACUGAGGAGCCCCCAGCCAGCCCAGAGCAGGAGCUGGACGGCUUCGGCACGGGGACCAACAGCUCUGCCUACUCCUGAGGGGCCAGCUCUUCUGUGGGGUCUGACAGCCCUGAGGCUGAAGGCUCCCUCUGUGCAGAGACCCCCAGUGCCCAGCAGGAGCGGUCUGAGGAGGAGGAAGAGAAGUAGGUUGAGGAGGUGGAGGAGGAAGAAGAGAAGGAGGAGGAGAAUGUGUCCCCUGAACAAGACACCAUCAGGGUCAUCCAGGGCACCUCCAGGGCAGAGUUGAGCAGCUGAUUGAAAAUCUGCCCGUGGUGCCAGAGCCAACCUCCAUCAUCUCCAGCUCCAUGGCCGCAGUUUGCAGCCUCAGCAAACUGAAGCAGCUGCUUGCCCUGGAGCUGGAAUCACACCUCCUGCGGGCUCUUCUUUAAACCAUCUUCACCAUGGGCACUGGGCAGGAUACCACCCACUUCUAGGCUCUGCACAACACCUAUUUACAGAGCCUGGACGCCAUGGUCGGGAGCCUGCUCACCGAGACCCCCCCCUGCCCGACAAGCUGCAGCACCUCUUGGAGGCAGCAGCGAGCUUCAGGGGAGGGUCCCCCUACAUUCCCCCUGCAUCCUCACCCAGCCCUCCCAAGAGCGGAGGUAUGUUGGAAAUUCUGGAUAAGCUGUAUACAGGAUAAUCUCUCGUCCGCCUCUGCCCCUUCUCUGAACAUUAUACACAGACAUGGCCAGUCUGGACAUAGAUAAUCAGAGAAAACUGAUGCCAACUGAACAGCAUUCAGCAUACCAUGGAUUUACUGGCACAAGAGGAAUUAUGUUCUGUGUUCUAUGUCUUCAAUGUUUUUUUCCCCACUCUGAACUUUAGAGUACAGAUGUGGGGGACCUGCAUGGACCCUUCUAAACUUAAUUACUAGGUUAGAUCUGGUAACACUGCCACCACUCAGAAUAUUAGUGUCUGGGGCACUUUCUGUCCCCCUAAAACUUUCCCCUCCCUGGGUUGCCUUGAGAGGCUUCACCACUUCCCUGGUGAACACAGAUCCAAACCCCUUGGAUCUUAAAACAAGGAGGAAUUAACCAUUCCUCCCUUUCCCCCCACCAAUUCCUGAUGAGUCCAGAUUCAUUCCUCUUGGAUCUUAAAACAAGGAAAAAUCAAUCAGGUUCUUAAAAAGAAAGCUUUUAAUUAAAGAAAGAAAAGGUAAAAAGUAUCUCUGUAAAAUCAGGAUGGAAAAUGCUUACAGGGUAAUCAGAUUCCUAUAGACCAGAGGGACCGCCCCCCCCCCCACCUUAGGCUCAAAGUUACAGCAAACAGAGGUAAAAAUCCUUCCAGCAAAAAGAAACAUUUCCAAGUUGAGAAAACAAACAUAAGACUAACACGCCUUGCCUGGCUAAUUACUUACAAGUUUGAAACAUGAGAGACUGAUUUUGAAAGAUUUGGAGAGCCUGGAUUGAUGUCCCGUCCCUCUCAGUCCCAAGAGCGAACAACAAUAACACAAAGAUCACAAACAAAAACUUCUCUCCACCAAGAUUUGAAAAUAUCUUGUCCCUCUAUUUGUCCUCUGGUCAGGUGUCAGCCAGGUUUACUGGGCUUCUCACCCUUUACAGGUUAAAAGAAGCCAAGAAGGGGAGAAGGAAAAAGAACAGAAUGAAUUAACUGCGAGAAAAAAAUAGCUAGUGUGCUCAGUCUAAAGAUAAGACAUUGGCCCCAUUCAAGGACACUACUCACAGCUAAGACUUAGCUGACAACCAAGAAAAGGGGGGGCUUGAAUGUGCCUAAGCAGCUAUGAGAUCUGCAAAACACUGCCAGGCAUUAAUGAAAUGUGUUAGGUUUCUUUUCUCACCGGUAAAGAAGCGCUGCCCAAAGACCCUAGCAGCCCUGCCACUCCUUGGAACCAGGAGCCUGGAUCUAUGUAAAGGUCCAUCAGCGAAAGACUGCUCUGGCUCCACACUGGAAAGGCCCUUUCCAAGUCCUGUUAACCACCAAAACUGCCAUGAAGUGCCAAGGACUACCUGCCUGGACCCAUGAUUCUCACUGCAAAAAGACCACUCCACCUUGGGAGACUUCUCCUACUGAUGAUUGGCCUAGUUCUCCUUCUAGCUCUGCUGUGCCUUCUGGACAGCAGGGAAAAAGGACAAAGUGAAGUGCUAGUAACGUCUCCCUUGUCCACUGACAGACCUACUGUGCCUUUGGAUUUUUCUAGAAGAAGCAAAGCCAUUACAGGGUGAUGUGCUGGUAACCUCUCCCCUGUAGGAUGCUGAACCACGACUGUUUUGGGAAAAAAGAAGGAACACUCGCUCCACCAAAAUUGCCAAAGUCCAGGACUUCUUGACUAGAAAGGACAUUAAGAACUGACCCUGGUGAAGAAACAAAGAAUUAUACACUGGCAGGAAGAAAUCUGUGGGACCCAUGCUUGGGAAUGUGGUAUUGAUUGGAUGCUGGGGUUUAUUCUACAGACUGUGCUGUGUGUUUUGGAUAAAUUCUUCAGCAUGUAUUGCCCCCCCAAUUGGAUUUUAAAUGACAAGUACCAAAGACACCUUGUUGCCACUGCCCCUGCCAUGUCCUCCAUUACCCCUGUAAUAUAUCCAAAUACAGACAAUGCCAUAUAUUUGAUGAAACCAGUGGCCAAGGCCUUCACACUUGAGUGAUUUAUUUAAUGAUUGUUUGGAAAAAAAUAUUUUUAAAGUUCCGGAUAUCCCAUAUAAGCAAAUAAUUGAGUGGAGAAUAAAUGGAUCAGUGGAAAUAGAAAUCUAUGAUAUCACUACAAAUGAACCCCAAGAAUCUGUAAUUGAAAUUGAUGGCUUCCAUAGUAAAGUAGAUAUGAUGGUU